rnacentral:lncRNA from 1 species
CCCAGGUUAGCCUCAACCUCUAGAUCUUCCUGCUUGUGGAACAGUUGGAAUUACAAGCAUGUCCCACUGGGCCAAACUUAAAUCAGCCUCUUAAAAGGCUCCCUAGGUGAUAAUGUUGUGAAGGAUUGGAAACCCACAGUGACAGUUCCCCACAGCUCCUCCAAUUUUCACCUACAUUGUUAGAUUAAUUGUACUUAUCUCUCAGAGUGGAGGCUCUAUGUUUCCUGGGUCUGAGUGCCCUGGAAAGGACUAAAUCAAAGCCGUGCCCAUCACCCCGGACACACAAACUCUUCCAUCUGCUUCUUUGAUGUGGCCUUUGGACCACUCACCAAAGCCAUGAAUGGUUAGACAGUCCCCGUCUCUGCUAAAUCUGUGUAAAUGGGAGAAGGAACAUUCCUUUCAUUGUCUAAGGCAAUAAAUCCUAAGCGGGAAGAUAUAAAACCCAAGGUCACGGGAGUUCUGAGAACAGGCACCUAAACUGCCAGAAAUGGAACUCCUGAGGCUCCCUGAGGAAAGUUAUGGUUCAGUUCAGUAUCAAACAAGGAACAAAAAAAAAAAAAAAAAAAAAAAGGAAGAGCUAUCCUAAAGGCUGACUAUGAGUCAGCAAGUCUCCUUAAAGUCUAUUUAAAGGUGAGAACCUGGGGUUAGGAAAAAAAUUAAAUAAGCUGACACAUUUACUUCUCCUAAAUGGUGGAGAUGACAGACUCCUGUGACUUUCCUACACAGCUGGACAUGCAAGCUGGUGAUUUUGUUGCUAUUGUGAAAACAUCCCUGGCAACAACUACAGGACCUGCUUUCAAAGUCAACCAAUUUAUGAAACACAAAGUGGCUCUAAUUCUAGGGGUUACCCUAAGGAUGACCAGAGUCAACUAUGGAGAGCAGUUUUGGAGCCGGUCACUGCAGGGCUGAGGUCUUGGCAGCUGUCAAAACAAGGACAUGCCCAAGGGGCAUGUCAGGGCCUCUGAUCUCCACAGCUGAGGCCACAUCACACACAUUGAGACCUACCCUGAAGCCUUUCUUUCAUUCUCAAAGGAUAUAGAAACUGGGUCAGAAUCCAUCGACUAUGCUUUUAUCGACUUUUCUAUACCAGCAGAAGUAGUUUCAG